UGGGUAAUCGGGCAUCAGAAUUCAUCGAUAUGUAACCCUGAUCGAAGAGUCCCAAACCAGUGGGACUCUUGACCCCGGUACCCAAAGUGUGUGGGACUCGUGAUCAGAGAAUCUUGAUUGUCGAUCAUAGAGUCUCAGAUACAUAGGACUCAUAGUCCAUGAGCAUUAGGACUCUUCAUCAGCCAUCAGAUCAGAUAGGAACCUCUAAUGUGUGUGACCCCG
rnacentral:lncRNA from 1 species